rnacentral:rRNA from 1 species
UACGAAGGGGGCUAGCGUUGCUCGGAAUUACUGGGCGUAAAGGGCGCGUAGGCGGACAGUUAAGUCAGAGGUGAAAGCCCAGGGCUCAACCCUGGAAUUGCCUUUGAUACUGGCUGUCUUGAGUAUGGGAGAGGUAAGCGGAACUCCGAGUGUAGAGGUGAAAUUCGUAGAUAUUCGGAAGAACACCAGUGGCGAAGGCGGCUUACUGGCCCAUUACUGACGCUGAGGCGCGAAAGCGUGGGGAGCAAACAGG